rnacentral:rRNA from 1 species
AUCAACGCUGGCGGCGCGCCUAACACAUGCAAGUCGAACGAGAAAGCAGGAGCAAUCUUGUGAGUAAAGUGGCGUACGGGUGAGUAACACGUGGAUCAUCUACCUUCUAGUGGGGGAUAACCCUGGGAAACCGGGGCUAAUACCGCAUAAGUCCGAGAGGAGAAAACAGCAAUGUGCUGGAAGAGGAGUCCGCGGCCGAUUAGCUAGUUGGUAGGGUAAAAGCCUACCAAGGCAACGAUCGGUAGCCGGCCUGAGAGGGCACACGGCCACACUGGCACUGAAACACGGGCCAGACUCCUACGGGAGGCAGCAGUGGGGAAUCUUGCACAAUGGGGGCAACCCUGAUGCAGCGACGCCGCGUGAACGAUGAAGCCCUUCGGGGUGUAAAGUUCUUUCGGCAGGGAAGAUAGUGACGGUACCUGCAGAAGCAGCUGCGGCUAACUACGUGCCAGCCGCCGCGGUAAU